UGCUUGGCUUUUCUGCUUUCUCACUGGACCAGAGGUCACUGGUGGACGGGUCACAGCACAAGCAGCCCCUGAAAGCUCGUCGCUUCCUUGCCUUGUAGUCCAGUCACUGCUCUGUCUCUUCAGCAAUGUCAGGUCACAGUUGGAGGCUGCUAUGGCAUAAGCCACCUCCUGUGGUGCUUGCUUUCUGUGGUUUUCAUGUUUAAUGCAACGUUGGGUACCCAAGUAUCAUUUCUGAAUCAUCUACUGUGAGCUAAGUCCGUUGUUUGCCAGAGGACCCCUGGGUUUCUCCUUCUAGAAGUUUAGGUUGGAGUUAAUGGGAAAAAGAAAGAAAGAAA